rnacentral:rRNA from 1 species
UACGUAGGGUCCGAGCGUUGUCCGGAAUUAUUGGGCGUAAAGGGUGCGUAGGCGGAUUAGUAAGUCAGUGGUGAAAGCCCAUCGCUUAACGGUGGAAUUGCCAUUGAUACUGCUAGUCUUGAGUAUGGUUGAGGUGGGCGGAAUGUGUCAUGUAGCGGUGAAAUGCUUAGAUAUGACCCAGAACACCAAUUGCGAAGGCAGCUCGCUAAACCAUAACUGACGCUGAUGCACGAAAGCGUGGGGAGCAAACAGG